CGCGUGUACUGGUCCGGCCGGGCCUUUCCCUCUGUGGAACCCCAUGCCCUUCACUGGGUGUGGCGGGGAAACAGGACUUUUACUGUGAAAAAAUUAGAGUGCUCCAGGCAGGCCUAUGCUCGAAUACAUUAGCAUGGAAUAAUAGAAUAGGACGUGUGGUUCUAUUUUGUUGGUUUCUAGGACCGCCGUAAUGAUUAAUAGGGACAGUCGGGGGCAUCAGUAUUCAAUUGUCAGAGGUGAAAUUCUUGGAUUUAUUGAAGACUAACUACUGCGAAAGCAUUUGCCAAGGAUGUUUUCAUUAAUCAGGAACGAAAGUUAGGGGAUCGAAGACGAUCAGAUACCGUCGUAGUCUUAACCAUAAACUAUGCCGACUAGGGAUCGGACGGUGUUAUAUUUUGACCCGUUCGGCACCUUACGAGAAAUCAAAGUGCUUGGGCUCCAGGGGGAGUAUGGUCGCAAGGCUGAAACUUAAAGAAAUUGACGGAAGGGCACCACCAGGGGUGGAGCCUGCGGCUUAAUUUGACUCAACACGGGGAAACUCACCAGGUCCAGACACAAUGAGGAUUGACAGGUUGAGAGCUCUUUCUUGAUUUUGUGGGUGGUGGUGCAUGGCCGUUCUUAGUUGGUGGAGUGAUUUGUCUGCUUAAUUGCGAUAACGAACGAGACCUUAACCUGCUAAAUAGCCCGUAUUGCUUUGGCAGUACGCUGGCUUCUUAGAGGGACUAUCGG
rnacentral:rRNA from 1 species